GAUGAACGCUGGCGGCGUGCCUAAUACAUGCAAGUCGAGCGAACGGACGAGAAGCUUGCUUCUCUGAUGUUAGCGGCGGACGGGUGAGUAACACGUGGAUAACCUACCUAUAAGACUGGGAUAACUUCGGGAAACCGGAGCUAAUACCGGAUGAUAUUUUGAACCGCAUGGUUCAAUAGUGAAAGACGGUCUUGCUGUCACUUCUAGAUGGAUCCGCGCUGCAUUAGCUAGUUGGUAAGGUAACGGCUUACCAAGGCAACGAUGCAUAGCCGACCUGGGAGGGUGAUCGGCCACACUGGAACUGAGCCACGGUCCAGACUCCUACGGGAGGCAGCAGUAGGGAAUCUUCCGCAAUGGUCGAAAGCAUGACGGAGCAACCCCGCGUGAGUGAUGAAGGUCUUCGGAUCGUAAAACUCUGUUAUUAGGGAAGAACAUAUGUGUAAGUAACUGUGCACAUCUUGACGGUACCUAAUCAGAAAGCCACGGCUAACUACGUG
rnacentral:rRNA from 1 species